rnacentral:rRNA from 1 species
UUACCGAGUUUACAACUCCCAAACCCAAUGUGAACGUUACCAAACUGUUGCCUCGGCGGGAUCUCUGCCCCGGGUGCGUCGCAGCCCCGGACCAAGGCGCCCGCCGGAGGACCAACCAAAACUCUUAUUGUAUACCCCCUCGCGGGUUUUUUUAUAAUCUGAGCCUUCUCGGCGCCUCUCGUAGGCGUUUCGAAAAUGAAUCAAAACUUUCAACAACGGAUCUCUUGGUUCUGGCAUCGAUGAAGAACGCAGCGAAAUGCGAUAAGUAAUGUGAAUUGCAGAAUUCAGUGAAUCAUCGAAUCUUUGAACGCACAUUGCGCCCGCCAGUAUUCUGGCGGGCAUGCCUGUCCGAGCGUCAUUUCAACCCUCGAACCCCUCCGGGGGGUCGGCGUUGGGGAUCGGCCCUGCCUUGGCGGUGGCCGUCUCCGAAAUACAGUGGCGGUCUCGCCGCAGCCUCUCCUGCGCAGUAGUUUGCACACUCGCAUCGGGAGCGCGGCGCGUCCACAGCCGUUAAACACCCAACUUCUGAAAUGUUGACCUCGGAUCAGGUAGGAAUACCCGCU